rnacentral:lncRNA from 1 species
AUGAACUCCUGGCGGAGGCUCCCGGCCCGGUUGGCCUCGGUGGAGGAGGCAGGAAGUGUGGGGGCCCGGGCCGGGAGGGCGGCCUGGGCAGCGGGCAGGGAGGGGGCCCCCGGCGACCAGGGCGGGGACCCGGGGCGCGCGCAAGCAACGCCCGACGACCACGGCGUCCCGGGGCGACAAGGCGUGGACAGAGGAAAAGCGGCAAGGCCCCGGGCCCAGCGAGAGCGGCCUCGGAGCUACCGGCCUCCUGGGCGCCGGUCCUCACCGCCUCUUCCUUCCUCCCGCCGCCCGCCCGCCCGCCGUCACCGCCGCCGCCGCCGAGAUUCGCAAUCCCCGCCAAGUCGGGCCCGCACCCUUGAUUGGCCACGCGGGCCCGGGGCCCGCACGGAGGGAGCAGCGAGGGCCCCUCGGCUGCGCCCCAGGCCCGGGUCCCCGCGGGCGGCGGCGCCGGGCCCGGGAGGGUCCGGGCGGCUAGGGUGUCCGCGGUGUGCCCCUCCGCCGCCUCCGCCUCCCGCUCGCGGCUUCCUCCUCCUCCUCUUCCUCCUCCUCCGCCUCCGCCUCCUCUGCCGCCUCCUCCUCCUCUCCGCUCGCUCGCUUGGGUCCCCGGCCGCCCGCCCGCUCGCCGGUCCCUCCUCCCUCACUCCCUCCCUCCUCGCUCGCUCGCGCCUCCGCCGGGCCUCGCUCGCUCACCUUUCACCGAGCGCGGCUUCGCCUGCUUCCGCCUGGACAUGUCCGGGGCUCCCGGCGCUCCGUCGCCCUCCGCGGCCGGCUCCCCGCCGCCCCUGCCGCCCGGGCUGCCCUUCUCCCCUUCUCCUCCUCCUGCCUCGGAAACUUUUUUGCAGCCGGGUCGGCAGCUGUGGGAGCGGAUCGCAGGUCCGGGGCGGCCUCCUGGGGCGGCCCGCCGGCCGAGGCCGCUCCAGGGCGGGGACCCGGGGCGCGCAAGCAACGCCCGACGACCACGGCGUCCCGGGGCGACAAGGCGUGGACAGAGGAAAAGCGGCAAGGCCCCGGGCCCAGCGAGAGCGGCCUCGGAGCUACCGGCCUCCUGGGCGCCGGUCCUCACCGCCUCUUCCUUCCUCCCGCCGCCCGCCCGCCCGCCGUCACCGCCGCCGCCGCCGAGAUUCGCAAUCCCCGCCAAGUCGGGCCCGCACCCCUUGA